CAACCAAUGGGGAGAUCUCGCCAGGCAGGAUUUCUUUCCCCAGGGAAAUAUCCUGUGUUUCGGUGUCCUGAAAGCACAAGAAUGACAAAACUGUACUCAGUAAAUAACUUGCCCAAAGUCACACAACUGCUGUCGGCUUAGCAGGCAGGAGCACUCACUGACAGCAUGGUGUCUCCUGAGUCCCCCCAGCCCCACGCCAUCUCUGUCCCAGACCCACAGCAGCCUGAGUCGUUCACUGUGAAACCGAGUCGCUGGGAAUGUAGUCAACAUCGAUCGGCAGGGCAGACGAAGAAGAAAGGCUCUGUGUGAGCCAGCACGUUGUUUUCCUUCAGGAAUUCCUUUUUAAUUUUACUAGUUUUUCCAUUGUCUGGCAUUUCUAAUAUGGUCACAAAAUAAAAAGGCAAUUAUUUACCUCUCUUUCCUAU